AUGAACGCUGGCGGCGUGCCUCAUACAUGCCAGUCGCGCGAACAGACGAGGAGCUUGCUCCUUUGACGUUAGCGGCGGACGGGUGAGUAACACGUGGGUAACCUACCUAUAAGACUGGGAUAACUUCGGGAAACCGGAGCUAAUACCGGAUAAUAUUUCGAACCGCAUGGUUCGAUAGUGAAAGAUGGCUUUGCUAUCACUUAUAGAUGGACCUGCGCCGUAUUAGCUAGUUGGUAAGGUAACGGCUUACCAAGGCAACGAUACGUAGCCGACCUGAGAGGGUGAUCGGCCACACUGGAACUGAGACACGGUCCAGACUCCUACGGGAGGCAGCAGUAGGGAAUCUUCCGCAAUGGGCGAAAGCCUGACGGAGCAACGCCGCGUGAGUGAUGAAGGUCUUCGGAUCGUAAAACUCUGUUAUUAGGGAAGAACAAACGUGUAAGUAACUGUGCACGUCUUGACGGUACCUAAUCAGAAAGCCACGGCUAACUACGUG
rnacentral:rRNA from 1 species